rnacentral:ncRNA from 1 species
UUGUCACAACGGCUUCCUGGCGUGACAGGUCAAAUCCAAUGGAGCA